ensembl:lncRNA
GCAAAUAACUGAUUUUCUUUCAUAUGGAUAAAAAAUAAACAAUUUUACGUGUAUAGACAUGCAUAUACACGUAAGCAAGAUGAUGAAUGUAAAAUAUAGCUUCAGAGAGAUGGUGAAUUUUUGGCUUUGGGGAAAAUAAUAGCUUCACUGUGAGUUAAUACUAUGUAUUUUCUACAUAUAUUUUUUUCCUCUCCCAGAGACUUAAAAAAUCUACUAAAGACUAUUCUACUUGUGAAUGAGCUUUGAAUUACCUUUGCUUCUGUCAAAGCCCCAUUUAUCAACCUGACAGUGUGAGUCUCUAAAAACAAAUAAGGGCAGGAAGGGGCUCUGAACUCUUGCCUUGGCAGAAUUAAGCUUCUUUUCCACAAGGGGAAGGCAUCCUAUAGACAGCUAUAGUAUUUUGCACAAACCAGUGAAAUACUACACAGUGUCUUUUUUUGGGGGGACCUUAUAUAAAUUGUCUAUACAAGCCUGAGUUUAAUACAGCUGUCAUUCGAUUAAUACAACAAAAUGGUUUGCUUGAGCAAAUGCCUACAUGUAAACAUUCAACAUCCAGGCACAGAUGUCUGUGUUUUAUUAACCAAUGUCCUUGAGAACAUAGCUAUGUAACUUGAGCAACUCCUUUUCACUAAUGGAGUGGAACUUUGCAGAGAGAAUUCUAUUAAACAAAAAGUCAGUCUUAUUAUUGGAUCUUGCUGGAUCAAUGAUGCUAAAAACAUUACCCAACUGGUUUGAAAAGUAGUCAUUGUCAAAUGUCCAUCUAAAUAAUUACGCCCAUUUUGUUUAAAUGAAACAUGUUAAAAAUUAUACCAUUGAAUGAGUGUGUGUGUUGGUUUCUUGAUAAAUCAUGCCACAGGUGAACUCUUUAGAACACCCAGAGUAGAAGUUGAUGGUUGAUUAAAAAAAUAUAUUCAUUCUUACAUGUAUAUGCAUAUUUCACACUUUUUCCAAGAAAUUACUUUGUAUCAGUUCUCCCUUCAAUAUAAAGGAAAAUUCACUUAGUCUUAGAGUACCCUUACCUUUUAAAAUUAAAGUCUGACAGAUUAGUUUAUUUUCACAUUGAAAACCAGAUCAGUUGCAACCAGUAUCUCAAUAAUUAAAGUAUUCGAGCUGUGAUAGGCUAUUGCAUAAAUAGUUCAGCUUUCAAGAAAGCAGAAUCUCAGAAAUUAAGCUUUAAGUUGAUUAGUUGAGAGACUUGCCAAAUGGAAAAUGAACUAAACCUGAGAAAAUCUUAGAUAAAUUUAUAUUUUUACAGAAUGCAGACAAUGGAUAAAGGGGAUCAAAAGGUACAAACUUCCAGCUGUAAAAUAAGUAAGCCAUGGAAAUGCAAUGUACAGUGUGGUGACUACAGUCGAUAAUACUGUAUUGCAUAUUUGAAAGUUGUAAGAAUAAUAGAUCUUAAAAGUUCAUAUCACAGGAAAAAGCAUCUUUGUAAUUAUGGUAAUAGAUGUUAACUGGACUUGUAGUGAUCAUUUCUCAAUAUAUACAAUAUUAUAUCAUUAUGUUGUAUACCUGAAGUUAAUAUGUCAAUUACAACACACACACAGAGAAAUAAAACAAUAAAAAGAAAACAAAUACCCCCAAUAUAGCCAAUGCUACCUUAUGAACAGGUAUAAAAAUUAAAUAUAAACAUGAAAAAAUAAUAUAAAAAUUUUGUCAGAUGACCCGGUAAUCGAAUAAGAAAAUUUUCCUCAACUUUCAUUCAUAGAAAAGGUUCAGUUUUAAAGGAAAUGUUGGUAUAAUUACAUCUAACUUUUACUAUCAUUUGCUCUGCAAACUUAUGCAAAAACUAAAGGUUAUUCUAGAGCAAUUCAAGUCAUUAAAGUAUCAUUUUGAAUGAAAGGCACUGCAAGCUCAUUUUUGCUUUCCUUAAGCAUAUUAUUUUUAAUAAUAUGUAAGAUGAUGCCCAUUUAUUCUCACUGGGAUUUCUCCGCUAAGUUUUUUGUUACAAAAUUCUUCAAUUGAUCACUGAGAGUGCCCUCAGUUCCAUGAGAAGCAAAAGUAUUUUCACAAGGAAACUUGAGGCAUGAGGUACCAUGGAGACUUGCUUAUUUCAGCAAAGUGAAUGAAUUGGAUGAGGUUUUUGAUGUUCAGAUUGAACAGAAUAAAGCCAGUCCUCCAUGGAUUAAUGUUUCUGAAAACUGAAAGGCCUGUUUUGCAACAGUUGGCAGAGGGCUGCCUUAUGGUUGAAGUAAACUCCUUUUUUAAAAACUCCCAUUUAUCCCUAAAAAUAAAGACACAGAGGAGGAAAUCAUAGAGUAUUUUAAAAAGCAUUUAUAUUGUCUAUCAGUUUAGCACUUAGCUCAGACAUAACAGCUAUUUCAAUAUGUAAGUACACACAGAUUAAGAAGUUACAUGUACUUAACACAAAGUGGUCGUCUUUUUGUUAUCCCAGCAUUUCUAGGACAAAGUCAGGGGAAGUAUUUGGAACCAUAUUUUAAAACAAAUGUUACUCCCUGAAUUAUAGGUCUUCUGUCUGUUCUGGAAAUAGUUACAUGGCCAGUGUAAUUAUGGUUUAUAUGAGUCACAGAAGCUGCUCUAGGCACUGUUCAUCCUAUUUAUACUCAAGUCCUGGAACAAAUAUUCAGAAGUUAUGGAAACAAUGACAAAGAACUAUGUCAGGUGAAGUUCAAUGGCCAGAGCCUCCUUUCUUAUAACUCCAACUAAACUUAAGGAUCCCAGCAUACAGGGCAGGAAGACCUCCUGCCUCCCUGGAAGUCCUCAGUAGUUAUGAAGGGAUGUACAAGGAAGGUCACAGACUCUUUUGAGGUCUGACCUUGCUGGGCUAUUAUAGAGAAUUGAAUCCUAUGAAAAAAUUUGGUCAUAGCAAUUUUCUCUACUGCAGAAUAAUGCACUUCACAAGAGAAGUGUCAGAUUAUUGAAUUCUUUGUGUUGAAAUACUCUUUGUACCAGGGUGUAUAUAUUGGACCCUACAAGCCAAAUACAGUUCCUAUACAUUCUGUGUAGCUCCAGCUUACAAGUCAUCUUGCUGUGUGGGAAUUUUAUAGAGCAACAAUGUCUUAGUUGAAGGUCACUGAAUUUUUUUUCCUAGUUUUUGAUUCUUUGAGUAGAAUCAAAGGAAAGAAAACCGAACUUAUGAGAAUUCCAGUUUUAAAAGUAGAAAAAAAUAAAGUUCUAUUUUCCCAAAAGGCAAAACUAGCAAUACAUUUGGAAAGUCUUGUCUCCAUAUUCACUCUCUCUCAAAAGUAAGUAUGUGUGGACUGCAUCAAACUGUAAGCCCAUGUGCAGAAGAGCCUAUGUAUUUAAAAACAGUUGGGGGCAAUGAGAUCCUUAAGGAGUAUAUAGUAAAUACUGAAAACAUACAUUUUGAGGUUUUGUUUUUUGUUUUGUUUUAUUUUUGGCUGCUGCACAACAUGCAGAAGUUCCUGGGCCAGGGAUCGAACCCAUGCCACAGCUGUAACCAGAGCUACAGCAGUGACAAUGUGGAUCCUUAACCCCACUGAACCACGAGGGAACUCAUGAAAAUACAUCUUUUGAUAUGAAAGAGUCUGUGAGGCUCGAAAUAGUCUCUCUUCCAGAAUGAAGCAGAAUUUUUACUACUAUUAUUUCAUUGUAUGCAUAAUUUAUUUUAACAAUUUAAUAUAUCUUUCUGUGGACAAUCUUGUGCUAUGUCUUAGAAUGAACUUAUCAAGAUUCCCCGCAGAUCUUAAAAGGAAUGUUUGUUUCAUUGAGAAAUUUUUAAAAGGUGUUGUAAGUUGAUAAUAAAUGAAUUAAUUUGAUGACCUAAUGGAACCUCAGCAAACAACAUUUUGCUCCUCACUCAUUUCACUUUCCCCCUGGUGCCUUGAUGUUUCAUUUUGUGAUCUAGUCACUUUUCUCUCUCACCCCUAUAUCCUUCCAGCUAACAUUUACUAACACUCCACUAAGUACCGCAAUGCAUGCAACAAUUGAUCCUCAAUUUUCAGGGAAAGAAAAUGAGUUUCAACCAUUUAAAGUCUUGCCUCACAAGGCAGGUAAACAACAGAGCCCAGACUCUAAUCCUGGCCUUUUUAAUUUUAACCAGGCAUUUUGCAAUGCAGAGAUGAAAUUUCUCUGAAUUAGAUUUUGAGAGUCAGCUUCAUUAGGAAUUGAAAUACAUCUUAGAGAUUACUGGAAUAGAGGUUCCCAAACCCUGCUGUGCACCAAAAUCACUAAGGAGUAAAGAACAGAUUCUUGGGCCUUGGUCCUAAAUUCAGAUUCUUCUGGACGAGGGUGGAGCUAAGGUAUUUGUAUCUUGAACAUGCUUCACAGCUGAAUGAAUGCUCAGUGGUUGUGGAAAGCAUGGAACUCUUCCAGAUCUCUUAUUUUAGAGAUGACAGCUGAGGCUUGGGUUUGUGAUGAUGGUAGAAAUGAAGCCCAGACUUUUCCUCUCAGCAAUCUUUUUUUCUACUCUAGUGUGACUGGCAACUAGUUCUUGUGUACAACUGUCCUGGGGAACUGCACAAUUAUUAUUUUAUUUCUCCGUAUUGUCUCUGUAACUGAGCAGGACCUAUGAGGCCUUCCCAGGGCCAGUACCUUCCCCAUAUCCUUUGCGGUUUGCACCUCUCUAAGUACCAGGAUAAAAACCUCAAGCAUUUCCUGAGUUUUUCAGAUGCUAACAACCACCACCAAAUGGAAGGAAUUAACUGCUUGAUGAUCACGAGCAAGUAACCCCCAGACUUAUCAGCCCCUAAAGAUCGGUAAUUUUAACCACCCUGUUACCUCAUCAUCAACCAAUCAGAAUGGUGCAUGAGCUGAUCCCAUACCCUGGGACACCCCUCCCACAUCUGGCUUUUAAAAAUGCUUUGCUUUCUUGAGCACGACUAGCAGCCCGUUCUCCUUGCAUGG